CUUGGCUUCGACGGGGGCUGCAAAGCAGUCGAGGGCAUGCCGAGGUCCAGUCACCUCGUAAAUCCACUGGCAAAAAACAAACGCCAACGACGAGCGUUUCGCCGUCGCCGCUUAAUCCCGGCGACGCGCUGCACCGGCUGAGCCUCACGGCCGGAUGGUGACUUCGGUCACCUGUGCAGCGUCACCACUUGAGGCUAGCCAAAGCUGCCUGGCCGUUUGGCGGCUUUGUGCGAAACCCAAAAUGGCUCGCAUCGACGUGGCGCGCGCCUUGGCCGGCGUCGAUGCUAAACGCAACAAGGCGCUAAGCAUGUAGUCCUCGCUGUGGAGGGCUUCCGGACGGGGGUUCGACUCCCCC
rnacentral:tmRNA from 1 species